ensembl:lncRNA
GGCACCGUCCUUUCCUCCCACCCCGCGAUCUGCUCGACGUGAAACGGCCCGAGUUGUGCUUCACUUGGGGCGGCGGUAGCGGCCCCUUUGUCCGUGCCCAGGUUCAGGUGGAGACCACCAGCCCGGACGGCACGGCCGAGCCCGUCUCAGCCCCAGCCUCUCGCCCGGGGACCCCUCGCUCCGGGGCUCGGGUUCCGCGCCUCCCGGCGGGUCGGACCGGCAGGGGGCAGAGGCGCGGAGGAGCCGGAACCUCCAGGGCCCCGAGGGAAGCGCCGCGGCCCCGAGGAGAUGUGGGACAUGUGGAUUUGGGAUGUGAAUUCAUUUGAAAAGCCACUUUGGGUAGAUGUGGUCAGCAUAGCUAAGGAAGGCCAGUGGGUCAGAAGUAGCCAAGGUACUCCUCACCUAGUAAAAGGGGACAUGGAUUUAAUCCCUGGUCCAGGAAGAUUCCACAUGCCUUGGAGCAACUCAUGCACCUCAGCAAGAGAGGUCCCCGCAGGGAGAAGCCCAGGCGCCGCAGAGUAGCCCCUGGAGAGAGGCGGCUGGAGAAACCCCAGCUGGAGAAAGCC